UACGUAGGGGGCAAGCGUUGCCCGGAUUCACUGGGCGUAAAGCGGGUGUAGGCGGUUCCUUAAGUCAGAUGUGAAAUCCUGCGGCUCAACCGCGGAACUGCAUCUGAUACUGGGGAACUUGAGGACGGUAGAGGUCGGUGGAAUACCCUGUGUACCGGUGAAAUGGGCAGAUAUAGGGUGGAACACCAGUGGCGAAGGCGGCCGACUGGGCCGAUCCUGACGCUGAGACCCGAAAGCCAGGGUAGCGAACCGG
rnacentral:rRNA from 1 species